AUGAAUCACUUUGGUUUCCCAGCUGACAUCUGUGUUAUUUUUAUUUGGGGGGUUAGUGUCUGGGGUUUGAGGGCUCUUCAGGAAGCUGGGGUUUCUUCAUGUGAUGAGGGAUGGAGAACUUACAAUACUGGAAGAAUUCUCCGUGGCUUUUUGACGGCGUGUUUUCUCCCAAAUGUGACAAAAGCCCAGUGUUUGCAUUUCAGAGAUAUGGGAAGAAAAAAUCGGCACGUCUGAAUUUUGGAGAUGAGUCUAAACUGGACUGUGCAACUGGACCACCUAGAGAUUAACAGACACACAAGCCCACAGGAUCCUGGGCUGUGCUCAGACCCCGGGCAUCGGACUCUCCGCCCCAGGACCUGCAUGUCUGACGAGUACCUCCUGUAAUUCACAAGCGCCCCGUCCAGCGUUGUCAGUAUGAUGGAGGACUGGGGACAGGAAGCAUCUGCCAUAGAAGGUCCCAGGUCCUGGUCGUGGCCAAGGGGGUGCUUCCGGGUUUUUUACCUCUUCAUCUCUCAACCUGGUUACUUCCUUGGACUUCCUGUUCUGAUUCCUGCUUCCAUAAGAUCCUAGCCUUUACUUUUUUUUUUUUCUUAAAUUAAAACUUCGAUCAGCUCAAGAAAAGCAAUUCUUCUUUCUCCUCUGCACAGUUCACUCCUUGGAGGAGAAAGAGCCCUGAGUGUGACUAACCAAUCACAGCGGCGAGUUAGGGGACAGUCGGUGUGCCCUGUGGAGCAUGCCUGCUCCUUCCUGACAUUUACCGGCUGCGGGCAGAACCUAAGUGUCUGUGUCUAAGAGCGCAGCCUGGAGAUCGGGGGCCGUUGUGACAGCACCCAGCCCUCAGCAUGCCCGGGACGUGUGGCAUUGGAGGGUGCUGUCGGAGCAUCUGGAGGAGGUCCACAGGAAGUAGAGGUCAGACGGACGAGCAGUGGGACGGACUAGCUGUCAUCUGAAAGGGGGCGGCACGUGCGGGGGGAACAGGAGUCUUUCCGGUCUUCGAAGUCUUCGUCUACCAGGCAUGUAGAGACCAGGUGCUCCGCCGUCCUCUCUUCCCGGAGUCGCGUAAGCCUUGCUCAGAUGCCUGUGGGUGCUCUCUUGGAAGCCGUCAGCCUGCUGCGCGCAAACACCUGCGCUUCGGUGACAUGUGAUGUGGUGUCGCUACCGAGGGUGAAAGCGGCGGAUGUAACAGUCUGGGAGGGAAGAGGUCCGGAAGCAAGGUCACGGGGCUGCUGAGCCG
rnacentral:lncRNA from 1 species